rnacentral:lncRNA from 1 species
CCUGAGGCCUGAGAACCAGGAGAGUUGAUAGUGUAAGUUCCAGUCCAAAAGCUGGCAAGCAAACGUCCCAGCUUAAGAAGUCAGGCAGGAGGAGUUCCCUCUUAUUCAGUUUCUUUUUGUUCUAUCCAGGUCUUCAGCUGAUUGAAUGAGACCCACCCGCCUUAGAGAGGGCAAUCUGCAUUACUCAGUCUACCAAUUCAAAUCUAAAUCUCAUCCAGAGUGACCCUUACAGACACAUCCAGGAGAAUGUUUGGCCAAAUAUCUGGAUACCCUGUGCCCAGUCAAGUUAACAGAGGAAGUUAACCAUCACAGAGCCCUUCCUGCCAACUGCAGCAACCACAGGCGGAUACCACUGUGAGCACAGCCCAGAUGUGGGAGCGCGAGUGAGUGGAGAGAAAUGCUGGGAAGACCAGCCGAAGCUUCAAACACAGGGCAGGCCUCCCUCAAGUGGAAACCUGGAGUCGGCGUGGCUGCCGCUCGGCUCUGGUCCUGACCCAGUGAGUGAUAGGCAAGGUACCCACUCUUUCUGGACUCAGUUUCCUUCUCAAGAAUUCGGAGAUAACUGCAGGGCCUUCCUUCUCCGAGGAGUGAGGUAAAUAUGCCAAAGGAAGCUCACUCCAAUGUGGAUAAAGACAAAAGGGUGAAUUGGCUCUGAGAGUCUCAUGGGUUGAAUCUGACUUGUGGACGUUUUUCAAAAAAACCAGCCUGGGCCCGGUGGCUCAUGCCAGUAAUCCCAGCACUUUGGGAGGCCAAGGGGGCCGGAUCACCUGAGGUCAGGAGUUCAAGACCAGCCUGGCCAACAUGGCAAAACCCCGUCUCUAGUAAAAAUACAAAAAUUAGUUGGGUGUGGUGGCGGCUGCCUGUAAUCCUAGCUACUCGGGAGCCUGAGGCAGGAAGAAUUGCUUGAACCCGGGAAGUGGAGGUUGUAGUGAACCAAGAUCAUGCCAUUGUACUCCAGCCUGGGUGACAGAGCGAGACACCAUCUCAAAAAAAACAAAACCAAAUGUUCCCCAAAUUUAAAUUAGUUGCUAAUAUUAAAAAACAAAGAGGUUUUACUUUUUAAAAAAUUCAGAUACCCAAGAAUUGGAAAAUCUGACAUCAGACAGGUUGCAUCCCCAAAGGGUACAAUGAACCAAAGCUAAGUACUGGCUAGCACUGACUUUAGACAGGGCAGAAUCUUACCAGUUUACCACAGUCUCCACCACUCUCUGUUGUCAACCCUAUUUUACAUUCAUCAUUAUCUAAAUGUAACUUAAGUAUUUUAUUUGAUUUUUCAUAUGUCAAAAUUAUAAGGUUUCCUUCCAGAUUUCCUGUUUGUAAAAUUUCACAUAGUUCAUUAAAGCUGAGCUUAGAGGAUGUUCUCGCUUUGCAGAUACUUUGUGUGUAUGUUAGUUUGUUGACUGGAUAAUCCUGGUUCUUAUAAACUUUUGGGUUUGGAGUUUUUACCAUAACUCCAGAGGUAGCUGGCCAGCCUGAGAAGUG